CGCACAAACCAAAUCCUAAGAAAGAACAAAACUAAAAGAAAAAAGGUCUGAACCAGCAAAGAACAUCUAUGUUUGGGAAUCGGAUCCAUAAAACACGCUUUGAAAGAGUGAUGAUGAUGGUCUCUCAUAUGUUUUCAUAUUCACAUUUCAUAGACAUCUAGUUCUGCCCAUGGCCCCAAUUCCCAAAUGCAUCUUUGACAAAAGCAAUAAAG
rnacentral:lncRNA from 1 species